AUGUGCAGUGUGCAAGCCAUUGGCUUUGUCAGGUGUUGGAGUGCUGCUUUUGUUAUGUGUGGGUCCUCAGUUGUGAUGGUUUUCCUCUGCUGGUCCAGGGCUUGGCUUGGCUGCACCAGGUGUUGCAGCUGCCGGUGUGCAGGACAUUCAGGGCUGAAACCAGGAGCAGCACAGUGAAAUCAGUGCAAAGCUGUGUUUCAGUGGCUCAGCUGUCCCUCUCAGCCCAGCCUUGCUGACAGAGUUAUGCCACUCUGAGCUCAACUACUACUUUAUUUUCUGCUUACAUAAAGAUCUUCCCCCUGUACUUCAGUUCAAAGCCUAGGCAUUCCUGAAAGUGCCCCCAGGGAAUUUAUCUUUCUACCAGGGUGCAUGUUGAUAUAAUUUCUUAUCAUCCAAACUAAUGUUUUCAUUUGUUUUUGAAUGUCUCUUUCAGUGACAGUCCUCUGGAGUGUAUUUCUUGGCCAUAUGAAUUCCUUUCCUGUUCAUCCAUGAACUUAAUUUCAAGAGCAAGCCACCUUCAUGGCAGAGGUGUUCCACCUGAGAGCCAUUUUGCUGAGGUUUCUAAAAGUGUGGUCUUGUAGAUUUAAUAUUUAUUGUUAUUUGUAGGGCAUUUAAUACUUAUUUAUUGCCUGUAUAGUAAUAAACAUAUUUGAGGCUUCCAGUGGCUCACGAAAACAAAGUCCAGCUAGAUAGCAUUAACAGACUGCAUACAAGAAGAGGAGGAGGAAAAGCAGCAAAGAAAUGUCAUAAAACUGACAUUUCUAACAUUUUUGUAGUGAAAGAAAACCCAGAAAGAGCAACUACAGAUAGUCUUACCCACUGUCUGAAGUCCUUAGCAGCACUGCACAUGGUGAAGUAGGGAAGGUGCAAGGAAUUUGCCCCAUUUCCCACCCUGCACUCCUGUUCAGAGACAGAAAGUUUUAUUAUCAAUGAAGUGAUUAUGAAAUGUGGAAGUGGGAGAGGUGAGGAAAGGGGUCCUGAAGAGGCACAAAAUCCAAGUGACAAAACACCGAGCCCUGCUUCAAGAAGUAUCUGUCUUCUGCUGUGCACAAGGACAAAGAAUCGUGAAGAGAUAUAGUAGCUUGAGGGGACAGUUUAGCAACAUUCUUCUUUCUGCCAAAAAUCAGGUCCUCAGCUGGCAAAAGCUGCAGACAGCCCCCUCCUUGUAUGUGUGGGGAUCUUUUCUGUAUAACGUGAAAUGAGGGGGAGGGAGAACAUAAUUUUCCCUUCACAGCAAUUACUUCAGCUUUCAAGAAAUACCCAGGGUACGUGUACAAAAUAUGUUCAAUAUAUGUAGGAGCUGUUUAAUGUAUAAUCAGAAGUUACUGUGACACCUGUGAGAGAAAAUAGUCACAUACAGCAUAUUUGUAGUACAUGUUGCAAAGUUCAAUGUUUCUCUGUCAUGGAUACAUACAGUGUAUUAUCUGUAAAUUUGCCAUGUCCAUGCAUGCUUACAUACUUACAUAUUUAUAUUUUUCUGUAGAAAGAAGACCAAUAUUUAAAAUGCUGCAACAUGGAUAAAUCAUACAGUAAGUACAGGUCAGAUGACUUUUCAUAAUUUUAUAAUUUUGGGUAUUCAAUUAGAAAAAUGUAAAUUGCCUAGAGCCUGAGGAGCCUAAGUCUCAUAUUCAGAAGUAAUUUAGGAAGAAAGUCUCCAUCACAUAAAUGAACUUUGUAUUGGCUUUUCUGGACUGAACUUGACUUUAUAUAUAUAGGUAUGUAAGUAUUGCAAAAUCCUUAUAUAUGGUCUCUGUCUGAAUGUAAUGAUUUGAAUUUUUGAGACACACAGAUAACAACUCUAAUGGGACCUCAGUCCCACUGUUAGAAAUUUUUUUUUAAAAGACACUCUUGGCAACUGUAGUACAAAACUGCUCAGAAUUCAGCUUAAAUCUUAAGUGUCAUGUGCCUAUGAUUUUGUGGAAGUGUUUGUGAUGGAACAAUAAGGCUCUCCAAGGCCUGUGUGCUGUCAGGCAGACCUGCAGUGUGCACAGGCUUCCAGUAUGGCUGUGUUUCCAGGAAACACUUUCUGUGUGGUAUCAUUUUUUCAAUCCUGCUUUGGGUCGUAAGGCAUGGGUUAAUGCAUCCUUUCCCAAACAAGUGCCAGCAAAACCUUUAUACUCUGCCUCAACAUGGACUAUUCUGUGAAUGCUACCUUUUAUUAAAGAAAUAUUUUGGAACAAUUGCAGAGGGUUUUUAAUAACAUUAUUGGCACUCCAGCCUUCUGCCUCUAAAGCUAGAUGACUUGGGGCUCUGUAAACACAGGCAACACUUUCUUCAUGUCAGUAGCCUUAAUGAUUUCAACUCUGUACAGUACCUGUAGCAAAACCGAGAGUGCACCUCAACCACAUGAAUAAGGUUUUUUUCCCCCUUUAAAACUUUUCACCAUACAUCAUUGUUGUCAUAAUUUUAUGUUAUAGGGAAACUCAGGAAUUUCCAGGAUGAUGAGCAAGCAUCCCACAGGAAAGGAAAAAUUCUCCCCUCCCUUGGUGGAAUUCUCUCCACUCUCAAUUUACCUCACAGAAAAUCUUCAAGCUGGUCCCAAGCAAGCCCUACACUGAGCCUUGGCUAUUGCAGUCCUACAGAAGUCAGUAGGACUAACACAAGGAUGGGCAAGUUUUGGUGAAGUUUGAGUAGUUUCUGUAUGGGAUUCAAAAUCUAUUGCCUGCUGCAAUCAGGAGGUGGAUGUUGUCCUGUGGCAGGAGACAUGGUGAUGGUGCUGGUAGUGGUUUCCUCUUGGACU